rnacentral:rRNA from 1 species
GUGGGGAUGACGUCAAGUCAUCAUGGCCCUUACGACCAGGGCUACACACGUGCUACAAUGGCGCAUACAAAGAGAAGCGACCUCGCGAGAGCAAGCGGACCUCAUAAAGUGCGUCGUAGUCCGGAUUGGAGUCUGCAACUCGACUCCAUGAAGUCGGAAUCGCUAGUAAUCGUGGAUCAGAAUGCCACGGUGAAUACGUUCCCGGGCCUUGUACACACCGCCCGUCACACCAUGGGAGUGGGUUGCAAAAGAAGUAGGUAGCUUAACCUUCGGGAGGGCGCUUACCACUUUGUGAUUCAUGACUGGGGUGAAGUCGUAACAAGGUAACCGUAGGGGAACCUGCGGUUGGAUCAC